GCUAUGCCGUCAAUACAAUCUGCCUCGUGGGUUUUCCAUGGUCUUCUAGAUCAACCUCAGCAAGAAAAUUAUCACUUUUAGCUGUGCUACUUUCUCUCAUGGUGUGUUUUUUGGUUACAUUAACAUUGGGACUGGUGUUACAGCUGAGAGAAGAGAAACUUCCAUAGAGGAUCAGGCAUUAAGCAUCAACUUGUUAUAUCACCUUAUGCUGGGCAUUGCUUUACGAGCUGUUUUAGAUGCUUUGAGGAAGCCUGAAGAUUCAAAAGUUUGUUCCUUCCUAGGUUAUCAGUUAAUGUUAUUAUUGAGAAUUUCAGUCUGACCAUGGCUUUAUGACAUUCAUAUGUUUUUCUUUGGGACUGAGGCAUUGGAGCAGUUUGUGGACCGUGUCAUUGGGUGGUCACAGUACUGCAAUCUUAUCCUGCACUUUGUAGCAUUUAUAGAGAGGGCACUUAAUAAGAUUUCAGCUGCUCAUACUGAACCUGAUUUAGAGGGAACCUUUAGCUGCAAUCUUUCUAUUCCCUCAUGGAGAGUUUGUAUCUGGCUGGUGCACGUCUGACCCUCUAGUUUCUGAAGAGGAUGCACCAUUAGACUAUUGUACCUCGAUCCUCUUAUGCUCAUCAGAGAACUUCGUUGUUGAAUAAAGUGAUUGCAAACCUUCAUUGCUUUAUUCCUGAUGUAUGCCUGGAUGGGAAGGAUCUGUCAACAAAUUCAUUCGGUUCAUAUAGAAGGACUAUCAGAAACUGUCAGAUGGAUUCUUUUCUCUACUUCAGAGCUGACAGAGUAUCCACAAUUAGCAAGAACUUAUGACUAGCUUCCUUUAUUGGACUCUAAGCCCAGAUGAAAAAAAGAGUAGCCCAACGCUACAUUUUUUCUGGAAUAAGCGUCCUAAAAAGGAGUUUUAAUGCAUAAAAGGAAGGUACGAAGGAGUUGUGUGGCAAUGGAGGCGUUCUUAUUCUGGUCAGGCCGUCAUGAACUUAAAGUUAUCUGGCUCAAACAAUAUUUCCUCAUACAUGGAUGCUAUCUCCCACCUAAAAUCUAAAGCUUUAUCUAUUCUGAAAGUGUAUCCUACCUGGAUGAGGUGGCCAGCAACACAGCAACUCAGGAUAUAGCAAAGUUUGUUGGACUCGAGGUUCUUGCAUUGCUAAAAAAAAUGUUUAAUGCUCCCUCCGCAGCAAGCUACCCGAAGGGGCAACUGGAACUUAAUGCAAUGCGCUUGGCAGAUGUCUUCUCAGAUGAUUCAAAUUUUCGGUCAUUCAUCAUGAUAAACUUUGGAACCCUUAGCUCCAAUCUUUCUAUUCCCUCAUGGAGAGUUUGUAUCUGGCUGGUGCUCGUCUGACCUUCUAGUUUCUGAAGAGGAUGCACCAUUAGACUAUGUAUUAUAUACAUCACCUCGAUAAUUCUUAUUUCGCCAAAUCAGUUAGUUACAACUAUUGCAUUAAACACCCUAAGUCAUCAUCAAUGUAUAUAGACACAUUUUAUUUGAAUUAACCCCUUGCAGUGUACCUCGUUCCUCUUAUGCUCAUCAAAGAACGUCUUUGUUGAUUAAAGUGAUUGCAAACCUUCAUUGCUUUGUUCGUGAUGUAUGCCACGAUGAGAAGGAUCUGUCAACAAGUUCAUUCGGUUCAUACAGAAGGACUAUCAGAAACUGUCAGAUGGAUUCUUUUCUCUACUUCAGAGCUGACAGAGUAUCCACAAUUAGCAAGAACUUAUUGUCAGGAUUUUUGAAUGAAGAUGAUGUACAACUGUUGAGAUAAUAAGAAUGUAUGCCCUCCUUUCAUGCUGAACUCGGGCAUUAAUUAUUUGUUCAUGUCCUAUCGUUCUUGGUUUGCAAUUUAGGAGCUUGGGAAGGAGUGGACAGAACAACUAGCUUCCUAUAUUGGACUCUCAAACCAAAUGAAAUGCUUGUAUUUGGUGUAUAGUGUGUGGAUCUGUUUAUAGUGUUUGUAGUGUUUGUAGUAUAUGUAUAAUGUGUGUAGUGCAUGUGUUUUCUUAGCAUGCAGUGUGUGUUGUGUUUUUGCAUUUGAAGUUCAUGUAUUUCGUGUGUGUGUGUGUGUGUGUGUGUGUAUUUUGUGGAUACUAUGUGCCGUCUAUAUGCAGUGAAAUUUUUAUUUCUUGUAGUG